UAGACAAAUUAUUGGUAUUCUUUCAUAAGUUACAUGGAUAUUGUAAAGCACGUCUUGGUUGAUAUGCGAGUAGGAUACAUGGAUACAUGAGGGGUAUGUUUAACAUGGAUACCUCUAAGAACUUAUGGUGGUCUUGAAAUUUUGCUCGUCUUACCUCUCAUUUUGUUGCAAGAGUUAUUUUCAUGACCCAAUAUUGGUAUUUCUUCCGUAAUUAAUCAAUGCCUGUUGCUUUGUACUGUAACAGGGUUGCAGGAAUUGUUCUCCCAAACAGAUGGAAACCAUCCAGUUCCAAGGAUCUCAGUGAUGGUCAAUAUGACUUCAAAUUUUGAUCCUUCCAAGAAGGAUCAGAAAUCAUAGGAGCCUACAGUUCUGCCUGGCCCAUCUAUGGAUGAAAUAAAUGUUGCCAAUAAAAACUUAAUGAUGGAUGAAGAGUUUCAAAUUACUGGGCCUGAACAACAGGCACACACAGUUAGGCUUGAGAGUGUUGUCAAGUAGGUAGCUGAAGUUAUGGAUGAGGUGCCUACAGAUGAAAUUGAUUUGUCAUGGUUUUCUGGCAAUUUACGACGGGAUGACUGUUAUAAUGGUCAUGACCGUUGGAGUAUAUCCGAUGGCAACAACUUUAGAGACCGUAGCCAACAUUAUUUAUCUGACAAAAGCAAGGUCUUUUGAUGCUUUCUUUAAUACUAGUGAAUAUU